AGAGGUGUUGUGAAGAUUACAGAUUAUAAGGGCAAAAUGGUGGCUGUAUCAGUGAACAGUAGUCAGGAUUAUUUUUUACUUUCCGGUGACUCAAACCUCUCCUAAACUGCUCUCUCAGUUUUGGCUCCGUCUUCCCAUCAUAAUAAUAGGUGGUGUAGAGAGGUGACAGAGUCAAGGAACAUGGUUCUUGUUUUCUGAAGAUGGUUCUUUCCUCAAGCCCUUUGAGUCUUCUUUGGUCUUAUAUUCUCGUCACAGAAGGAGAGGUGAUUGUCUUUCCCCAGUUUUGUCUACCAUUCCGGUUCCAUCUGCGUUCCCGGAGGAGUCCUGUUGAGGGCAGAGUGACUGCGAGCAAAACAUGAAGAGCUGUGUCACCAAGUUCCAUAAAAUCUGGGAGCCCAAGCAGCGUAUUUGUGGGAUUUGUCUGACAGAACGCAAUGGAAACAGAACGCAAUGGAAACAGAGCGCGGCAUUCACUCCAUCUCCCACAGGUCACCUGUGGAGAAAGAAACAUCAUCUCUCAACAGAGGAUUGUUCCUCCGUUUGAUGAUACGUGCAUCCUGGCAUCUGGAAUUCAAUUGACUGUUCUGUCUUAGAGCCAAGAAUCUAGAAACUCUCCAAUCCUGAAGUCAAAAUGGAAUGCAUCUCUGCUCUUCCUCUGGGCAUCAUCUAAUUUUUUUGUUCUUGUUUUCCUUGUACUGGAAUCUACAACACCCUCUGCUACCCCCUCAACCAGCCUUUCUUCUGCAGAGCAACUUAGUUCUAAUUAGCAACUACAAACCUAUUCACCUAGAUCCAAGAGUUCAGCAGUGUCUUUUAAGUAUGUAACAGGCAAUUCUUUUACAUUUUAUUGAGAUGACUACUUUAAAAAAAUUGGUUGCUACCCAGAACUGUUUAGAACAUUGCUUGCUUUAGGUAAGUGAGUGAAGCAAGAUGUGAUAACAUAGGGCUGGGGGACUAGAGUUGGGCAGUGUGGUAGCACAUGAUUUUGUUACUUGAGAUUGCCUGUAAUUGUAAAUGUCAGUGACCAGAGUGAUAUGAGACUCACAGGGGCUCUUGAAGUUCUGCUUCUUCCCUAUUCCUUAAUGCAAUACAAUAUUUAGGUUCAUCUUUUCAAUUUUCCUGGAAAAAUUAAAUACUGUGCCAUAAUAUAAAAAUAAGUAAUUUGAAAGUAAAGGAAGGGCAUGAAUGGAGAGGAGGCAGGAAAACAUUCUAGGUUGGAAAAAAUGGCAGAAGUAAUAAUGUUGGGACAUUGGAGUGAUGGUGGAGGUGGGAAUAGAAUCUAGGAUCUCUUCAUCCCAUGCUAUGCAUCUAUGUUCACAAAAUUAGUAUGGCCAAAUAUUAAAUCAGCUCAUUUCUGGUUGGGAAAAGUAGGGUGAAUGUGCCUUUCUAGCUGUCCUUGAGAUGUAAAUCUCCUGUAACAUAGCUUCCCUAGUGGUCACCUCAAAGGCUUUGUUCUCUCCAGGAUAGAUGCUACAGAAUGGGACAGUACUUGGUGUGUGUGUGUGUGUAUCUCAAUUUUUUUUUAAACAUGACAAAUUGAACUAGGGGCAAGAGAAGGACGGACAGAGGAGCCUAUGAUGGGGUGGUGAAUACUAAAUAUUUUCCAGGUGUAAGGAGCAGAGGAGGAAAAGGGAGACUGGGUAACCCUUUUUCAGACCAUCAUUUAGUCCAUUUUAUGUUGCAAACCUACUCCAGCUUUCUUAAACAGUGGGGUUUUCAUUACAACAUAGUUAAGAGAGUAGGCUUAGGAGUAAGAUUGCUUGAUCCUGAGUAAGUUACUGAAUCUUGAUGUCUCAGUUUCUUCAUUCCAGUUAAGUAAAUAUAUUUAAAUUAAAUUAUAUUAGUUAGUAAAUGUAAAGCACACAGAAAAGUGUUUGGCUUCUAGUGAGCUUUCAAUAAGUGUUAACUAUUAUUUGUUAUUAUUAUUUUAGCAAAACCAACCUCCAAAACCUAUGGAGUCAGUUUACAGAAAGCCACCAGGAGAAGGGAAAUAAGAAGAUUCUUUACUUUGCUGUCAUCUGAUACACUUAGCAUUUUAAAUGACUAUAUGUACAAUAUUAACCAUGCCUUUCCACAAAACUAUGUGUGUGCAUAUGAAUUACAGGGCUUUCAUUUGAAACUGAACUAUCUGUGUUUGUAGUUACUUUAGUCAUACAACAAACCUACAAAAUAUUUAAGCAUAAAUUAUCAUGAUGACUAAAUACAGAAAAGCUGCGGUUACCAAAACCUGCACCCAAAUGGACUGCACAGGAUGGGUAAUUGGAUGGUGGUGUAAAGAAUGCUCAUGAGGCCUAGGCUGCUGCUAAUUAGAUCUUCUAUGCUAUUUAAAUGUUCUCCAAGCUUCAGGGAGUGCCCUGAAGGCAGUUGGACAUUAGCCUUGUGGUUUUUGAGGGUAACCUACAGUUUGUCAGCACAGGGGUGGAGGUGAGCACCAUGGGACUUUUCCCAGGCUGCUGGUUAACAUGCUGUGGUUUCAAUCCUUUAAGCCAAUAAAUGGAGGAGAGAGAAAGAAGGCAGACUGAAAUUAGAGGAAAAGAGCGAAAGAAAGGGAAAGUAGAAGUAAGAAUAAUAUUCAUGAAAUGUCUUCUUUGGGCCAGAUAUUUUUUUAGGAACUUUCACAUAUUGUGCUUACAUCAACUCUGUGGGAAAUGUAUGAUUAUACUAUCCUCAUUUGUAACAGACAUUGUUGGGUGCCUAUAUAACAUAUAACAGCUAUUUUUCAUUUUUUUUCUUGCUGAUAGUGCUUUUUUUUUCUUUUUUUUUUUUUUUUAGUGUUUACUUCCCAAAUAGAACUUAUGUCUCCAUGUCUCCAUCCUUCAGCAAUAGGGGUAAUUCUGAAAGGUCAUUGUUUUGCAAUUGCCCUUGGAAGGAAUUUCUUGGACAUAACAACAGAUAAGAUUCUAGCCAAUGAAAGGUGAUGAGAAGGUUGCUGAGAAGUUUCUGAGAAAGGUUUCUUUAUUCUUUAACAAAUACCCUGGAAAGAGACAGGCCUUCUGCUGCUGUUCAUGGUCGUACCUGCACAGGAUGCCUGAAAAGGAGUAACCUUGGGGUCAGAAGAGGAGCCAGCGUGAGGACAAAGCAGAUACACUGAAGUAUCACCUAUCAUUAAAUUUUUGUGCAAGAGUAUAAACAUUCUCAUUGUUUAAUCUUUCCGUGGGAGACGCUUUACUAUGUGUAGCAAAGUCAUUCUAACUGACAUACCAUUUUCCAUUUUAUGAGAAAACUGAUGUACAGAAAGGUUAAGAAACUUGCCUGCAUUUGCAUGCAUAAUGAGGAAUGGAGAGAACAGGUUGUGCCUUCUAAUAUACAGGCAAGAUAUGUCUCUUUUAAACAGCACAUACAGACACACUCCAAAAUGACAAUUUCCAUCAUUUUUUAAAAAUUAAAUGAGACAAAGACUCUAAAACUAUUUAAAUAACAUGUACAUUACUGUCAAGAUUUAUUUUUAUUUUUUUCAGCUCUAUUGAGAUAUAGUUGACAAAUAAAAUGGUAUGAAUUUAAGGUGUACCAUGUGAUGAUUUGAUGUAUGUAUGUAUUGUGAGAAGACCAAAAUAAAGUCAGUUAACAUAUCUAUUA
rnacentral:lncRNA from 1 species